AAUGUUACCACCUUGAGAGUGCCCAAUCCUGUCUGAGCUUGGAAACUAAAGAGGGCUGGGCCUGGCUAGUACUGGGAAUGGAGCAGUGGCUAAGUGCCAGGAGAACGUUC
rnacentral:rRNA from 1 species